rnacentral:rRNA from 1 species
GAUGAACGCUGGCGGCGUGCCUAAUACAUGCAAGUCGAGCGAUAAUUUUUCAAAUGACACUUCGGUUGAUUUUGGAAAAGGACAGCGGCGGACGGGUGAGUAACGCGUAGGCAACCUGCCCCUGACAGAGGGAUAGCCAUUGGAAACGAUGAUUAAAACCUCAUAACGCCGAAGGAACACAUGUUUCAUCGGCCAAAGAUUUAUCGGUCAGGGAUGGGCCUGCGUCUGAUUAACUAGUUGGUGAGGUAUCGGAUCACCAAGGUGACGAUCAGUAGCCGAACUGAGAGGGUGAUCGGCCACAGUGGAACUGAGGCACGGUGCAAACUUCUACGGAAGGCAGCAGUAGGGAAUCUUGAACAAUGGGCGAAAGCCUGAUGCAGCAACGCCGCGUGAAGGAUGAAGGCCUUCGGGUUGUAAACUUCUGUUCUUAGGGAAGAAGAAAGUGACGGUACCUAAGGAGAAAGCCCCGGCUAACUACGUGCCAGCCGCCGCAGUAA